rnacentral:rRNA from 1 species
CAUGUAGGCGGCAUGACAAGUCUGGUGUGAAAUAUCUCGGCUCAACCGAGAAAACGCACUGUAAACUAUCAAGCUUGAGUAUCGGAGGGGAAGCUAGAAUUCCUGGUGUAGGGGUGAAAUCUGUAGAUAUCAGGAAGAAUACCGGUGGCGAAGGCGAGCUUCUGGCCAGAUACUGACGCUGAGAUGCGAAAGCGUGGGGAGCGAACAGGAUUAGAUACCCUGGUAGUCC